UCCCUGGUGGCUCAGAUGGUAAAGCGUCUGCCUACAACGCGGGAGGCCCGGGUUCGAUUCCUGGGUCGGGAA
rfam:Ovis aries breed Texel chromosome 14, whole genome shotgun sequence.